rnacentral:rRNA from 1 species
UACAGAGACUGCAAGCGUUAUUCGGAUUCACUGGGCGUAAAGGGUGCGCAGGCGGCCAAGUGUGUGAGGCGUGAAAGCCCGGGGCUUAACCCCGGAAUUGCACCUCAAACUACAUGGCUAGAGCAUUGGAGAGGGUAGCAGAAUUCAUGGUGUAGCAGUGAAAUGCGUAGAUAUCAUGAGGAAUACCAGAGGCGAAGGCGGGUUACUGGGCUGAUACUGACGCUGAUGCGCGAAAGCCAGGGGAGCAAACGGG